rnacentral:sRNA from 1 species
GCGCGGGUCAAUAGGGAGUAGCUGCACCUCAACCAGAGGUGGCUUACAUCAACAUCCUUGGUUACAAACCAUGGUGUAAGCAGCUUAGGCCUAGCAAGACUUUUGACUACCUAUCUUCUUGAAGCU